rnacentral:rRNA from 1 species
UACAGAGGGUGCAAGCGUUGUCCGGAAUUAUUGGGCGUAAAGCGCGUGUAGGCGGCUUUGCAAGUCGGGUGUGAAAGCCCUCAGCUCAACUGAGGAAGUGCGCCCGAAACUGCAGAGCUUGAGUGCCGGAGAGGGUGGCGGAAUUCCCCAAGUAGAGGUGAAAUUCGUAGAUAUGGGGAGGAACACCGGUGGCGAAGGCGGCCACCUGGACGGUAACUGACGCUGAGACGCGAAAGCGUGGGGAGCAAACAGG